CACUCCCCCUUAUGUCAUGUCUAGUUGUACUUCCUGUCUGUGUGUUUUCCCUCUGUGUCCGUUCACCUUGCCCUUGUGUUUUAGCUUCUCUCCCCAGCUGUGUCUCGUUCCCCUCGUUUAGUGUCUGUGUGUAUAUAUCCCUGUCUGUCCCAGUGUUCCUUGUCAGUUCGUCAUCUAAGUGUCACCCUUGCAGAUGUCUCCUUGUUCUUCCUCGUACUCCCUGUGUUGUCCUGGUUUGUGAUUUCGUAAGGUGAAAUAUGGUGAAAAAGUGCAACAAGUGUCUAAAGUGUCUCCAUCUCUGUUGAUGGACAAAGCCGUCAUAAAGCUGUCGUUGUGUGAAGCUGCAAUACAAUCCUGCCCUUCUUCCCCCGCACAUGAAAGUGUGCUGGGAGCCGGUUUGUGUUUGUUGUCUGAUGAUUUGCUCCCUGACCUUCGACCUCGCUGCCACUGCCACAAGAGGAACAAAAGCUUCAAACAGGAGCAGCAAACACUUACUGCUGCACAGCCAGCACGAGUCCUUUCCCAACUUCUCCCAGAGUACCUGGAGCCACCGAGCAAGACUGCAAAGGUGAAUUUGGUGACAGAGCUUCAACUUCAUAGAACCAUUCAAUAAAAAACCUUACCAUGCUAAACUCAUUUACACCAGAUAUAAAGGCUAUAUGUCAGGUUUUAGGACUCAUAACGCUGACUCAUGUCAGAGUUUAAGACUCAUGUCAGGGUUUAGGACUCAUAACGCU
rnacentral:lncRNA from 1 species